CGUCACACACACCAUGCACCACAAGUAGCAUGGUGAAAUAUACUGAUAGAGGGAUUGUAUUAUUGGACCCUACAGAAAGGACACAGUCUGUCACAGCUGUUGAAGAUGACGAUGAAGAA